rnacentral:rRNA from 1 species
UGAAACUUCGGUCGAUUUAAUUUAAUUCUAGUGGCGGACGGGUGAGUAACGCGUGGGUAACCUGCCUUAUACUGGGGGAUAACAGUCAGAAAUGGCUGCUAAUACCGCAUAAGCGCACAGAGCUGCAUGGCUCGGUGUGAAAAACUCCGGUGGUAUAAGAUGGACCCGCGUUGGAUUAGCUUGUUGGUGGGGUAACGGCCCACCAAGGCGACGAUCCAUAGCCGGCCUGAGAGGGUGAACGGCCACAUUGGGACUGAGACACGGCCCAGACUCCUACGGGAGGCAGCAGUGGGGAAUAUUGCACAAUGGGGGAAACCCUGAUGCAGCGACGCCGCGUGAAGGAAGAAGUAUCUCGGUAUGCAAACUUCUAUCAGCAGGGAAGAUAGUGACGGUACCUGACUAAGAAGCCCCGGCUAACUACGUGCCAGCAGCCGCGGUAAUACGUAGGGGGCAAGCGUUAUCCGGAUUUACUGGGUGUAAAGGGAGCGUAGACGGUGUGGCAAGUCUGAUGUGAAAGGCAUGGGCUCAACCUGUGGACUGCAUUGGAAACUGUCAUGCUUGAGUGCCGGAGGGGUAAGCGGAAUUCCUAGUGUAGCGGUGAAAUGCGUAGAUAUUAGGGGGAACACCAGUGGCGAAGGCGGCUUACUGGA